CCCAUCCCCCCCCCCGCCCCCUCUCCCGCCGGCUCCUUUGUCUGCAGGCGGGGGCUGUGGGGCGGGGGUUGUGGGGCGGCGGCGCGGGCGCCCCCUCGGCGAAGCGGUGGGCACCGUCCCCCGCGGGCCCGGCGUCCGGCCAGGUCCCUCGGGCCCCUGCUGCCCGCGAUCGCCACUGAGCCUCCUGUGCCAGCUGAUGGGCUUCAACCCGCCGCUGCCAGUGCGUCCCUGGCGGGAGCAGGACGGGGUCUUGGGCAGUCUUUGGCGCUCGAAUUUGUGCCUGCUUGGGAGGGGUCUGCGCACCUGGAUCCUAGUACACCUGCUGGCCCCAAGGCCCUCGAGCGGAAGGCGACGACAGGAAUCAGUUCCCUUCCUGAAGGGCCAAGUGGGGAACACCUUGAGAGCCUGCCGUCGUUCUCCGGCUCUUCCGAGGUGGGGUCUGGAGCCCGAUAUGUGGGCCCAGUAGAUGGGACCAGGCUGUGCCCAUCAUGUCACUGACCACUGACCCGUUCCUCAGCCUCCUUGGGAUUGGGUCUGACCAGGAUCUGCCUGCCCUGCGCUGGAGGCUUUUGGACAGGAGAAAAGGAAGGACCUCCAGAGGUCACCUGGAAGAGCCUUUGAAGGCCGUGCCCCUCUCCCACACAGCUCCUUUGGGGGCACGCACACACACUCCCACCAGAAAAGACACCAAGGAAGACCAUUAUUUUCUGCCACCUUCCUUUGUCCAGCUGGCUGUGGGGCAUGGACCAGGAAAUGCCUGGACUCCCUCACUCCACAAGCCAGGAGCAACCCAGGUGGGGAGCCAGAACUUUCAGGUCCCCAUUGGAGGUCCCAAGAGAGCCCUGAGCUCUCAGCCCUUUCAGGCUGAGAGGUCUCUGGGAGGGAGGGAAAGUGAGGCUCACCCACCCGAACCAGACUCCCUUCCAGAGUCAGAUGGGUUGCAGGGAAGGGGGUGCUGCGUCAACAUGAAGAUGUGGCCACAAGUGGUCUUCUGAGUUUUGAAGCCAGGAGCAAACUGAACAGGACAAGGGCGUGUGCCCAGAGUGACACCAUGCUGGGAUGGCAGUACCAAAGGCAGGGAUUUGUGUGGACUGCUUUAUUUUUCUCUGUAUGUUAUAGUUCUUAUUCCCUACAGGCAUUGAUGUCAAAAGUGUUUAUCUUUAAGGAAAUAAAGAGAAGCUAACCAAGGGACCCCAGAACCCCUGGAGCAGGGCUGCUAUCAAGUGGCCUGAGGUCAGUAGAAGGCAGGGUCUUAUUCAGUCCUUUGCAGAGACUGACUUUCCUAUAGACCCUGGGCACAAGGCCACACUGGUUAGUGACCAUCUUGUCCCCAGGGUCUCCUAAAAGGUCUGAAUGCCUGGGCGUCAGCGGUCAAGGAGGGCCGGUUGGAGAACCCCAUCCAGCCUGCAGCCUGUGCCAAGAGCUCCUCAGGGUCAUCUUGUGCGUCCCUCUUGCUCGGACCUUGUGGUGCUCUGUUCAGUGCAGCUCCCAUCACCCCAACUCCACCACCUUUUGGGGGAGGUACCCCAGGAGAAGGAGCAGGCUGGGACCCCUGGGCUGCCUGGCUUUCUGGUUUUCAUUCAGUUCCCACUUUUAUUUUUCUACUUUACCCGUUUAAUUAUGGAGUUAAACCAGGUGCUGCGGGACUCCCCCUCUGUCAGCCACAUUACAGCACGGGAGGUGACUGUCUCUUCUAGAGUCUGUGACUCUGAAUUCCAUCAAGGAUGGUAACAACAGGCUUGUUAAAGCUGUUCCUUCUUCCACCCGAGGAAGGGGCUCACCUGGACAAAGACAUGCAGGAGCUGGGGAGGGGGGGCUGGGCAUCAAGAGGAGGCCCAACCCUCCACCCCAAGGGGCCUGGAAGCGAGCGAACAUCUGUCUGUGUACAACAAUCAAGUUCUAUUUUUGUAAUUAAAAAUACAUUCAAAGGAAAAAGGAAACAAAAAGAACAAUCUUUGGUGUCCGUUGCUGCAGAAAGCUGAAGUUGGGGGUGGGGGUGCUGGAACCAGAAGGUGGGCUGUGCUCAUCUUGGACAGGUUUCCUGGGCUACUCUAGUACCCCGAAUCCUGCUUACACAGGAGUGGGACUCCACUUAUAGAAAGUGGUGAGCUCUAGGGUCCCCUGCCUGGCCCCUGCCAAGCAGUACGCCCGUUCAUCUCUUGUGACUCUCCAGAUCCCACGCAGCAAGCGUAUGACCCCAGCUGUUUGCUCUCCUCUGAGCCCCCGGAAAGACCACAGUCCCCAGUCCUCUGUGUCCAUUUUGGCCAGGAAUCGGUUCGCUUCCAGGUGUGGCUGUCCAGAAUAUCAGAGCAGUCCUUCUGCCCCCUCUGCUGGCCAGAUGGGGACCUGGGGACAGCUGCAAGGCUCCGGAGCAGCCCCUAGAGGGGCGGGCCAUCGAUGCCACGGCAGGCACACCCACGUUACCUGGGGCGUGGGGGUGGGGUGGAGUGAGGAGUAGACUUCAAGUGCAUCUCCAGCUGCUGAGGGUCAGGCCUUUUGGUCUCUGGGCUGGCAUCACAGGGCAGGCAUACAUUCCAGCGGCAUGGUCAGCUGGGGAGACAAGUUGCGGAGAAGUAAAACCUUGCUCCAGAGCCCAGGCAGUCAAGGCAUGGCACCCCCAGGCAGCCCAGUUCUCU
rnacentral:lncRNA from 1 species